UUAACUACCCUGGAGAACUAAGUCCACUGCUUUUCCACAGGACUGGUGUCACACAAGCAGCAACAGGGCUACUGCCUAUGCCAUAGCCUCAAUCCAGUCUUGGAUGGAUCAUCUCCAGAACUGAGCAGACGCUUCACUUUCCAUGGCCCAUGGAAUACCAAUUCCU
ensembl:misc_RNA